rnacentral:rRNA from 1 species
AUUGAACGCUGGCGGCAGGCCUAACACAUGCAAGUCGAGCGGCAGCGGAAAGUAGCUUGCUACUUUGCCGGCGAGCGGCGGACGGGUGAGUAAUGUCUGGGAAACUGCCUGAUGGAGGGGGAUAACUACUGGAAACGGUAGCUAAUACCGCAUGACCUCGAAAGAGCAAAGUGGGGGAUCUUCGGACCUCACGCCAUCGGAUGUGCCCAGAUGGGAUUAGCUAGUAGGUGAGGUAAUGGCUCACCUAGGCGACGAUCCCUAGCUGGUCUGAGAGGAUGACCAGCCACACUGGAACUGAGACACGGUCCAGACUCCUACGGGAGGCAGCAGUGGGGAAUAUUGCACAAUGGGCGCAAGCCUGAUGCAGCCAUGCCGCGUGUGUGAAGAAGGCCUUAGGGUUGUAAAGCACUUUCAGCGAGGAGGAAGGCAUCAUACUUAAUACGUGUGGUGAUUGACGUUACUCGCAGAAGAAGCACCGGCUAACUCCGUGCCAGCAGCCGCGGUAAUACGGAGGGUGCAAGCGUUAAUCGGAAUUACUGGGCGUAAAGCGCACGCAGCGGUUUGUUAAGUCAGAUGUGAAAUCCCCGCGCUUAACGUGGGAACUGCAUUUGAAACUGGCAAGCUGAGUCUUGUAGAGGGGGGUAGAAUUCCAGGUGUAGCGGUGAAAUGCGUAGAGAUCUGGAGGAAACCGUGGCGCAAGCGGCCCCUGGAGAGACGCGCGCCUGUGUGUGAAGGAGUGGGCGCGAGAGGUUAAUACCGAGUAUCGACGGCAAAUGAGAGUGGGGAGGAGCGCGUGGGUCGCGGGACCCCAGGGGGGCCGGGGCCCGGUGUGUCUCUCUCCCCCCUUAUUCACC